rnacentral:rRNA from 1 species
UACGGGGGGGGCAAGCGUUGUUCGGAAUUACUGGGCGUAAAGGGCUCGUAGGUGGCCAACUAAGUCGAACGUGAAAUCCCCGGGCUCAACCCGGGAACUGCGUCCGAUACUGGAAGGCUUGAAUCCGGGAGAGGGAUGCGGAAUUCCAGGUGUAGCGGUGAAAUGCGUAGAUAUCUGGAGGAACACCGAUGGCGAAGGCAGCCUUCUGGGCCAACACUGACGCUCAUGCACGAAAGCGUGGGGAGCAAACAGG